rnacentral:rRNA from 1 species
UACGGGAGGCAGCAGUGGGGAAUAUUGCACAAUGGGCGCAAGCCUGAUGCAGCCAUGCCGCGUGUAUGAAGAAGGCCUUCGGGUUGUAAAGUACUUUCAGUCGUGAGGAAGGUGUUAAGGUUAAUAACCUUAGCAAUUGACGUUAGCGACAGAAGAAGCACCGGCUAACUCCGUGCCAGCAGCCGCGGUAAUACGGAGGGUGCGAGCGUUAAUCGGAAUUACUGGGCGUAAAGGGCACGCAGGCGGUUAAUUAAGUUGGAUGUGAAAUCCCCGGGCUUAACCUGGGAAUGGCAUUCAAGACUGGUUAGCUAGAGUCUUGUAGAGGGGGUUAGAAUUCCAUGUGUAGCGGUGAAAUGCGUAGAGAUGUGGAGGAAUACCGGUGGCGAAGGCGGCCCCUGGGACAAAGGACUGACGCUCGAUGUGCGAAAGCGUGGGGAGCAAACGAGGAUUAGAUACC